UUCCCCCUUUUUUUUUUUUUUUUUCUUUAAAAUUUUCCAUUUUAAAUUGGUUAUUUCUGAUUUAUAUAUAAAAGCAAAUAAUAAUGAUAUGGUUUGAAUAGGAAAAUUAAAAUUUUUUAAGUUCUUAGACCACAUUCAUUCUGUGUCAGAAACCUAUGCUGUGUCAAAUAUUUAAUCACAAUCCAAAUUCAGAGCUGUAUCAAGCUUGAAUGUUGUGUUUAUACUUGCCCCAACUGUUCAGGGUUGGACCUCUGCGGUCGUAUCAAGCUGCGCCCAGCGGAGCAUUUUAUUCAUUUUAUCAGAUAUUAUAAGCAUAUGUCUACUUGUUGGUGUGUGGAAUGACUGCAAGGUGUCAUAUAAAAAUAAGAAGAUGUCUGUCUGCCAAGUUUAAUAUUACUGAGACCUUAUUUUCAUAGAAUAUUGAUAAUAUCAAGCAAAAAUGAUGAGCAAGACAAGAUACAAAUGAUCCAAAAUUGUCAGUUGCCUACUUAUUAUGUAAUAGUAGUUAUUGUCAUCAAAUGAUAAUGUUUACCCUUUUAUGUGUAGGGCAAGAACAUUAAAGAUAAAGGGAAACUAUAAACAAAAGAAAUUAUCAACAAAAAUAGAUUUACAGACGUCAACAAAGCCUAAAUGGUCAGACAUCUUGGUUUUCAUGAUCAUCAUUCAACAGGUCAAUACUGAACAGCAAACUUAAAGUUGAUAUUUUUCUACAUAGUGUGACUUUUUUAUUAAUUUGAAAUGGAAUGUGUUUUUUUUUCCUACAUAAGAAAGAGGAAAUUUCAACAUAAUGACUAUAAACAAAAAGGAGUCAUAUCAUCAUGAUCAUAGAUGCUCAAGAACUUAAUCAUGUAAAUGCAACAACGUAAUUAUCAAUUGAAAGAAGGGAGGAAUGAAAAAAUAUAUUAGUAUUUUGUUGUCCAAAUGAACUUGCUUUGUCCACUCAUUUAAAUUGCUCCAUCCAAUAAAGAUGUACGGAGGAAGAUUUUUGAAGAACAGAUUGCAAAAAUGUUUUGUCUAAGAAUUGUAGGAACAUUCUAGUGGAUGAAAUAAUUUAUUUACUUGACUCUUAUAUAGUGGACUGAAUAAUUGUUCAUAGCAAGCUGAAACAAGAAAACUAAAACUUAACAGGAAAAGUGUUUAUUUUAUAAAUUUACAAAUAUAAAUGUAAUAUUAUGAACACCACAAAGGAAUAAGAUUCAAAUCGUUUGCAUAUUCAUGUAUUGCAAUGGAACUAUAACAAAGAAAACUUUACCUCAUGAAAAGAGUAAACUAUUAACUGUGCUUUGUCAAUUUAUUCAGUCAGAAUAUGAAAUAUUUUUUUCAGUUCUAUUUUUCAUAAUAAAACAAAGAAGACAAAGAUUUCAAAUCAAUAUUUUUUUCUUUUAUUAAGACGUCAUAAUUUUAUUUCAGUUAAAGGAUUUUAUUUUUUGACUUUAAAUAUUAUUAUAUUUCCAAAAUAAUAAUAAUCUUUAUUGUCAUAUAAACAAAUUAAAAACAUGUUUGUGACAAAAUGAAAAAAACCAAAAUACACUCAUAUAUAUAUUAUAAACUUUUUACUACCAAACAGAA